rnacentral:rRNA from 1 species
CAGUCGCCACGGGAAUACGUAGGUGGCGAGCGUUGUCCGGAAUCAUUGGGCGUAAAGGGAGCGCAGGCGGGCAUGUAAGUCUUUCUUAAAAGUGCGGGGCUCAACCCCGUGAUGGGAAAGAAACUACAUGUCUUGAGUACAGGAGAGGAAAGCGGAAUUCCCAGUGUAGCGGUGAAAUGCGUAGAUAUUGGGAGGAACACCAGUGGCGAAGGCAGCUUUCUGGACUGCAACUGACGCUGAGGCUCGAAAGCCAGGGGAGCGAACGGGAUUAGAGACCCCUGUAGUCCCUGUCUCUUAUACC